rnacentral:rRNA from 1 species
GACGAACGCUGGCGGCGUGCCUAAUACAUGCAAGUAGAACGCAAAGUUUAUACCGUAGCUUGCUACACCAUAGCCUGUGAGUUGCGAACGGGUGAGUAACGCGUAGGUAACCUGCCUGGUAGCGUGGGGUAACUAUAGUAAACGAUAGAUAAUACAGCAUAAUCUUGAUUAUUGCAUGAUACUUAAUUGAAAGCUGCAAUUGCUCCACUACCAUCUGAACAUGCGUUGUAUUAGCUAGUAGGUGAGGUAACGGAUCACCUAGGCGACGAUACAUAGCCGACCUGAGAGGGUGAUCGGCCACACUGGGACUGAGAAACGGCCCAGACUCCUACGGGAGGCAGCAGUAGGGAAUCUUCGGCAAUGGACGAAAGGCUGACCGAGCAACGCCGCGUGAGUGAAGAAGGUUUUCGGAUCGUAAAGCUCUGUUUUAAGAGAAGAACAGGUGUGAGAGUGGAAAGUUCACACUGUGACGGUAUCUUACCAGAAAGGGACGGCUAACUACGUG